rnacentral:misc_RNA from 1 species
GAUGAAGAACGCAGCGAAAUGCGAUAAGUAGUGUGAAUUGCAGAAUUCAGUGAAUCAUCGAAUCUUUGAACGCACAUUGCGCCCUUUGGUAUUCCAAAGGGCAUGCCUGUUCGAGCGUCAUUUGUACCCUCAAGCUUUGCUUGGUGUUGGGCGUCUUGUCUCUAGCUUUGCUGGAGACUCGCCUUAAAGUAAUUGGCAGCCGGCCUACUGGUUUCGGAGCGCAGCACAAGUCGCACUCUCUAUCAGCAAAGGUCUAGCAUCCAUUAAGCCUUUUUUUCAACUUUUGACCUCGGAUCAGGUAGGGAUACCCGCUGAAGUUAAGCAUAUCAAUAAGCGGAGGA